rnacentral:rRNA from 1 species
GGAGUUAGCCGGUGCUUCUUCUGCGAGUAACGUCACAGAUGUAAGGUAUUAACUUACACCCUUUCCUCCUCGCUGAAAGUGCUUUACAACCCGAAGGCCUUCUUCACACACGCGGCAUGGCUGCAUCAGGGUUUCCCCCAUUGUGCAAUAUUCCCCACUGCUGCCUCCCGUAGGAGUCUGGGCCGUGUCUCAGUCCCAGUGUGGCUGAUCAUCCUCUCAGACCAGCUAGGGAUCGUCGCCUAGGUGAGCCUUUACCUCACCUACUAGCUAAUCCCACCUGGGCUUAUCCAUCAGCGCAAGGCCCGAAGGUCCCCUGCUUUCCCCCGUAGGGCGUAUGCGGUAUUAGCAGUCGUUUCCAACUGUUAUCCCCCACAAAUGGGCAAAUUCCCAGGCAUUACUCACCCGUCCGCCGCUCGUCAUCUUCAAAGCAAGCUUUUAGAAAUGUUACCGCUCGACUUGCAUGUGUUAGGCCUGCCGCCAGCGUUCAAUCUGAGCCAGGAUCAAACUCUGA